GACGAACGCUGGCGGCGUGCCUAAUACAUGCAAGUAGAACGCUGAAGGAGGAGCUUGCUUCUCUGGAUGAGUUGCGAACGGGUGAGUAACGCGUAGGUAACCUGCCUGGUAGCGGGGGAUAACUAUUGGAAACGAUAGCUAAUACCGCAUAAGAGUAGAUGUUGCAUGACAUUUGCUUAAAAGGUGCAAUUGCAUCACUACCAGAUGGACCUGCGUUGUAUUAGCUAGUUGGUGGGGUAACGGCUCACCAAGGCGACGAUACAUAGCCGACCUGAGAGGGUGAUCGGCCACACUGGGACUGAGACACGGCCCAGACUCCUACGGGAGGCAGCAGUAGGGAAUCUUCGGCAAUAGACGGAAGUCUGACCGAGCAACGCCGCGUGAGUGAAGAAGGUUGUCGGAUCGUAAAGCUCUGUUGUAAGAGAAGAACGAGUGUGAGAGUGGAAAGUUCACACUGUGACGGUAGCUUACCAGAAAGGGACGGCUAACUACGUG
rnacentral:rRNA from 1 species